rnacentral:misc_RNA from 1 species
UCUGUGAGGGCGCUCCAUUCAGCAAGCCGCACUGUCGUUGUGAAGGUAAAGAAUUCAUCCAAAUCCGCUUUUUCUCGGCACGAAACGUUUAGGGGAAAUGAUCCAAUAUCCCACCAGUGGUCAAAAAGUGGAGGAGAAGUACAUGACCCCGGGAUGUACGUUAUUUUUGAAAACAUGAAUUUUUUUGUGAGAAAGCGGUGCCAAUCGGGUACCAUACUUUCGCAAAUGGCGCCAGCUGUUGGAAACAGUUGGCCUAUGGCUAGAAACCUUUCCCGUGAAUGGACGGGAAAACAAAUUCGUAGCCACAGUGUAUUCCAUUCCGAGGCGGCUGUACGACGGACGGCAUACCAGUGAAUGGUAUCUGAACGUUUAAAAGUUUCUGCGAGUUUUGUACGGGAAGUGGACCAGACUGUGCAAGAUGGCGGCGUCCAUGGAGUAUUUUGGUCCUUUGGUGAUGUUAAUCACAGCGUUGAAGAUUCUACUGCUACCAGCAUACCGAUCGACUGAUUUUGAGGUUCACCGAAACUGGCUGGCAAUCACACAUUCCCUGCCCGUUUCAAAGUGGUACUAUGAGGACACUUCCAUAUGGACAUUGGACUAUCCUCCAUUCUUUGCCUGGUUUGAGUUUGCACUUUCACAGUUAGCACAGCAAUUUGACCCCGGCAUGUUAGUUGUGGCCAAUCUCAACUAUGCCACCCAAGCCACCGUCGUCUUUCAGAGGCUGUCCGUCAUCCUCACCGAUUUUGUGUUUGUCUUUGCAGUCAAAGAGUACUGUUCUUCUCUGGCCAAGAGGUGUGGUCGGAGGGAAUAUGCACAGCUGUUGGAAAAGCCCCAGUUUGUACUGGCUGUUCUGUUAGUUGGUAACUUUGGCCUGAUUCUGUUGGAUCAUAUUCAUUUCCAGUACAACGGUUUCCUGUACGGCCUGAUGCUACUGUCCCUCGCAAGAAUAAGUGAGGGGCGUAAUCUUGAGGGCGCUUUUUGGUUUGCCGUUCUCCUCAACUUCAAACACAUUUACUUGUACAUCGCCCCAGCUUACUUUGUGUACCUGCUAAGAUGUUACUGUUUCACAAGAAACAACAGAGAUGGAGGGGUGCAGUGGACCAGCUUGUCUUUUUCCAGGCUCUUCUCCCUCGGUGCUAUUGUAAUAAGUGUGUUUGCAGUGUCUUUUGGCCCAUUUAUCGCAAUGGGUCAGCUGCCUCAGGUUCUCUCCCGGCUUUUCCCCUUCAAGCGAGGGCUAUGCCACUCCUACUGGGCCCCUAACUUUUGGGCUCUCUACAACGUGGCAGACAAGGCAGCCACAGUCGCAGGCUUGAGACUGGAGCUAUUGUCUGCUGAAAGUCUUCAAGAUCAAGCAGCAUCGAUGACCGGAGGUCUGGUACAAGAAUACAACCACGCUGUCUUACCCUCUGUCCCUCCUAUUGCUACACUGAUACUCACUGUACUAACUGCUCUUCCAGCCUUAUUGCACCUGUGGAGGUACCCUAGUGGCCCUAGAGGUUUCAUAAGAUGCCUCACCCUGUGUGCCUACAGCUCUUUCAUGUUUGGCUACCAUGUCCAUGAGAAGGCAAUUCUGCUGGUCAUUAUACCCCUGAGUCUUCUAGCCAUGGAAAGUUUGAAGGAUGCUCAGGUGUUUCUCAUUGUGUCUGUUGUGGGUCACUACUCCCUCUUCCCUUUGCUCUUCACCCAAGAUGAAACACCCAUUAAAUUGUGCCUGAUGUUGGCCUUCACAAUCUUCAGUGUCAUUGGUACAACUCAUAUUCACAGAUACACCAAUAGGUUCCCCAACCUGCUCCCUAAUGUGCCCCAGCUGUCCACCAUUGAGACGCUGUACAUCCUGGGUCUGGUGCCCCUCUUCAUCUACAAGAAUCUCCUACACAGCAUGGUGCCUUCGCUGCAGCGGUAUGAAUUCCUGCCGCUGAUGUUGACAUCAGUCUACUGUGCUCUCGGUAUCACCUACGCCUGGCUGAAACUGAAUGUGGUAACACUAGGCAGAGGAGGCGGGAGACUAGACAAAUCCAGUUGAAACUUUUUGGUUUUGAACGCGUCUUUCUACUAAAUCAUCAUGUUUCUUGAAUUUGAAUGGAACCACAGGAUUUGGACAUAUGGACAGUUUAUGAUUCAAUACUGUGCACAGGCCAGCCACAGUUGACGGAAGCGUGACGUCACAAUGGAGCAAACAAUUGGACAUAUGCUAUUCGUUGACUUCACAAUUUGUUAACUGAGUUCGUGCAAACUUCCCAGCAAGAAUGUUUAGGGCAUUAGGGUUAUGACCAAGAUUGUCAAUCAUGUUGACAGUCUUGACAAUCAUCCGAUGUCGGGCUUGUUGAAGAAGGGAUACCUGGAUUCUAACUGCUGUUCUGUUCUGAAACAUUUUGAUGCGGGUGUUUGAAAUAAAAUGACAAUAAAUACGAACAGCAUGGCAAAGGAUAAGCACAUUGUAGGUUUUUAACAACAUCUAAUUUUUUCACUCAUUUUGAGAUAGAAUUGUGUGAAACUUCAAAUUUCUGUGGUUGUAUUGACUGAGAUACUUCUUUUGUAAAUUUGCUUGAUUGUUGAACUAUGAACCCAAACAAGUUGUACCAUUUGCUGCACCUUGUAUUUUAUCUUGUCAUCAUUUUCCAAUUCUGGCUACCGGGGUAUUGUCUCAUCAGCGGCCAACAUGUUAGUGUAGACCUGAUGAGUGCCAGUGGAUUCUUUGGUUAUUUUCUUUAAACUCAUGUGCCUGAAUAAACAAAUACAUUGACCUUA